GGGUAUAGCUCAGUGGUAGAGUGCAUGCUUAGCAUGCAGGAGGUCCUGGGUUCAAUCCCCAGUAUCUCCA
rnacentral:tRNA from 1 species